GACGAACGCUGGCGGCGUGCUUAACACAUGCAAGUCGAACGGAAAGGCCCUGCUUUUGUGGGGUGCUCGAGUGGCGAACGGGUGAGUAACACGUGAGUAACCUGCCCUUGACUUUGGGAUAACUUCAGGAAACUGGGGCUAAUACCGGAUAGGAGCUCCUGCUGCAUGGUGGGGGUUGGAAAGUUUCGGCGGUUGGGGAUGGACUCGCGGCUUAUCAGCUUGUUGGUGGGGUAGUGGCUUACCAAGGCUUUGACGGGUAGCCGGCCUGAGAGGGUGACCGGCCACAUUGGGACUGAGAUACGGCCCAGACUCCUACGGGUGGCCGCCGUGGGGUCUCUUGCCCUCUGGGCGGAAGCCUGAUGACGCAACGCCGCGUGCGGGAUGACGGCCUUCGGGUUGUAAACCGCUUUCGCCUGUGGCGCCGCGUGAGUGCCGGUGCUGGGUCCCGUCGCGCCGGCUCCCUCCGUG
rnacentral:rRNA from 1 species